GUUGGAGCAGAAAGCAAUGUGAUAAUUUCUCUCGAGAUCUCUCUCACCAUCCAAAACGUGCGGAAUGUGAUUAUGUCGCUAUUUACUCUAAAGAAGAUGGAAAGUGUUUGGGUAGUCACCCAACGGAAGGGCAGGAGGUUAGUACAGAAGAAGUGGAGAUGUUGAAGAGAGCAUUUAUUAAUCCCACAAUGCUCUAUUCAUAUGGCAUAGUUUUGAGAGGCGAUAAAUUCACUUUUGUAAAAGUUGAAAAGGAGGCUAUAUUAGGAAGAAAAGUUGAUGAGUCCUGUCUUAUAGUGCAACUGGAUCAAGGUAUCCUCAUUUGCAUCUAUGGCUCAAGUCUAUUAACAAAAGAUAUUUACAAGCACUUUAUUGAAAUUUAUGAGAAAUAUAACAGAGCUUAAUCACUUUAUCAAUAAAAAUGGGUCUCAGUUGAUUAUGACGGGAGAGAAAUGAGGAUAAAAU
rnacentral:lncRNA from 1 species